rnacentral:rRNA from 1 species
GACAGAGGUGGCAAGCGUUGUUCGGAAUUACUGGGCUUAAAGGGCGCGUAGGUGUCCCGGCAAGUCAGAUGUGGAAUCUCUCCGCUUAACGGGGAAAUUGCAUCUGAAACUGUCGGGAUUGAGUCAGCGAGGGGAUGGCGGAAUUCCAGGUGUAGCGGUGAAAUGCGUAGAUAUCUGGAGGAAGGCCGGUGGCGAAGGCGGCCAUCUGGCGCUGAACUGACACUGAGGCGCGAAAGCGUGGGGAGCAAACAGGAUUAGAUACCCUGGUAGUCCACGCCCUAAACGGUGGGCACUAGGUGUAGGGCUCGUAAGGGUUCUGUGCCGAAGGGAAACCAUUAAGUGCCCCGCCUGGGGAGUACGGCCGCAAGGUUGAAACUUAAAGGAAUUGACGG